UGAGGUUGAAGGCAGGAUAGUUGAAGGGUCCACCGGCCGACCGUGCCGGCUAGGCGUAUAGCACCACGUAGGGAUGGAGCAAGAGUUUGUGACGACAAAGGGACAACUUGAUAGACCAUACAUCCAUCGGGACAUGUUCCACCAGCGUUCUCUGGAGGUACGGUUUUGGGGUUCAAGUCGGCGGAACUCACUCUGAAAAAUGCGGACAACCGACGAGAUAAGACAACGACAUGUUUCUAUGCAGUGGUGUCUUUCACUGCUCAGACGAAAGCAACUUUGAGAACUUGGUCUAUUGUUGGUGAACUUGACGUCGCUUGUCUCCAUAGACAUAACGGGAGUGGAUAGAAAAGAAGACGGACGAAGUUAGAGUUAAGAAAAUAUUCGCGUUUUGCAGACUGUGCUUGAAGAAAAUUACAGUGUGAAGGCAUACUCUCGACACCCCUGGUACAUGAUGGAUUCUGGGGCGACGUCUUGUAUUGGAUGACUUUCCAGACAGCAAACAAGAACCGACAACUCUUGUGUUUGUGAAUGCUUGGUGUGAUUGUUGUAAAUUACAUGUAUUGAUGAAUAUUGUGUCCACUCAAAAACCAAUCACAUUCUUGAAAUGGAAGAGAACUUUACUUUGUGCGACUUCCUGGGAAACAAGGGAUAAAAAUUGAUCUGAUAAAAAAAUCGAGCUACAGGCUAACAUAAUGGUUAAUCAAUCUUGGGCCACAAGAAAAAGAAAUGAGCAAACAAAUAAAAUUAAUUUAUGAUAUUUUUUCUUUCAAAAUAGAAAACGGUUUCUCAAUAUAAUGCUUUAAAAUGUAUCAAUUUGGGUACAGCCCAACACUCGCUUGCAAAGGCCUACUAAAAAUAAUAUGGUUUAAG